AACGUACGCUGGCGGCACGCCUAACACAUGCAAGUCGAACGCAGUAGCAAUACUGAGUGGCAAACGGGUGAGUAUAAUGUGGGAAUCUACCUUUUGGUUUGGAAUAACACGGGGAAACUUGUGCUAAUACCGAAUAAGCCCUUACGGGGAAAGUUUUAACGCCGAAAGAUGAGCCCGCACUUGAUUAGCUAGUUGGUAAGGUAAAAGCUUACCAAGGCAAUGAUCAAUAGCUGUUCUUAGAGGAAGACCAGCCACAUUGGGACUGAGACACGGCCCAGACUCCUACGGGAGGCAGCAGUGGGGAAUCUUGCACAAUGGGGGAAACCCUGAUGCAGCGAUGCCGCGUGAGUGAAGAAGGCCUUUGGGUCGUAAAGCACUUUCACUGGUGAAGAUUAUGACGGUAACCAGAAAAGAAGCCCCGGCUAACUUCG
rnacentral:rRNA from 1 species